rnacentral:rRNA from 1 species
UACGUAGGGUGCAAGCGUUACUCGGAAUUACUGGGCGUAAAGCGUGCGUAGGUGGUUCGUUAAGUCUGUCGUGAAAGCCCCGGGCUCAACCUGGGAAUGGCGAUGGAUACUGGCGGGCUAGAGUGCGGUAGAGGAGAGUGGAAUUCCCGGUGUAGCAGUGAAACGCGUAGAGAUCGGGAGGAACAUCAGUGGCGAAGGCGGCUCUCUGGACCAGCACUGACACUGAGGCGCGAAAGCGUGGGGAGCGAACAGG